rnacentral:piRNA from 1 species
AUAUUCUGAGAUCCCCGAAGGCCUUGAAGAA